CUUUUGAGUUUCUGGAAGCGCAAUACUAAAUUGCUGAUGGACCCCUUUAAAGGGUCCACCUUCAGCUUCAUUUUCUGCCAAUCCAUUUUGCCAAAUGACUCCAAACUUCUCAGUAUGCUAGUACUAAAAACCCCCAUCGCUUUCUUUUUUUUCUUUUAGGUUACUUGUUGUUAUUGUCACAUAGACUUGUGUUCAUUCCUUUUCAAUACCAGACCCAUAUAUUUGAACCAUUGCAGCUUCAAUCUUCCCUUUCUUUUCUUCAACACCAUUUACUUCCUUUUCCUUGCCAGGAUGGGUGCAGCGAGGCUACAGACCUGAUGGAGCGCUGCGAGCUGAUCAGUGACAGACUAUUGACCUUGGAAGAUGAAUUGCAGAUGGCCAUACUGAACCGGGAUCAGGCCCUCACCCAGUUGUUGGAAAAGGAGGUUCAGGAAGUAAAAGCCACUUUACAAUCCAUGCUCGCACAGCUCGAAGAGGAAGAAGAGGAAGAAGAGGAGGAAGAGGAAGUGAAUGGGUUACACGAUGACGACCUUAUGAAGAACGGGACUGAGGAAGAAGAAGACGAAGAGGAGGAGAAGGAGGAGGAGGAGGAAGAGGACCAGUACUUCAGUGACAGCUGGGGUAUUUGAAAUGGAUUUGUGUAGGGUUUUAUGACCACUCAUACACAGACCCGCUCUCUGAGAGCCUGACCUCAGCUUUGCAGUUGGAGUGACCCCAUAUCCAUUUACUGUAAAGCCUCACAAGCAGCCUCUGUGGUACUGCCGAAAGUUUCCAGUACAAAGCCUUGGGUAACAUUGCAUCCAUUUCCUUUUCUAGAAUGGAAAAACAUGAAGGAUUUUUAUAUAAAUGCAAAAUAUAAGACAAUUUAAUCAAGAGAUCCUCAAAUCUUGCCAGCCUAAGUUUAACCAGAUAAAGAGCGCCUCAGGCCACAGAGCCAACAAAGCAAUUAUUUUUUUAAAUUAGGAUGUUUUUGAAUAGGUAAAUGUCUUGCAAGCAAUUAGGUAGAAUGUUUUAGUCUGUAUUUACUGAAAAAAACAUUACUAUGAAACUGAUUAAUACUCUUGAUUAUUUAGUUUAUUGGGUUUUUUUCCCAGUAAUGUCAGUUACACAGAGAUAUCUAUAUCCAGGGCUUUUCAAUUCAAUGACAAAAACUGAAAACUACAUUAUUUUUAAAUAGCAAGCAUGAAACCAAACUCACUUAAUCGCUCGCCACGACCACCUGUUUGAAUUUUGGCUAAGGACCAAGUGGACAAACAAAACAUAUUUUAUUGCACACUUAAACUAAAAAGCAUGUUUCAUCUUUAGGUCAGCUAGGCACUUUUUGUACGAUUGGACUUCAGUUACGUAUCAUUUUGUCCAUGAAAUAACUAAUUUGUGGUGCUACAGAAUGGGAGCUAACUUGAACACUUUAUGGUUUUCUUCGUGUAGAAAAAGGUAAUCUUUAGAUUUUUAGCACUGUGCUUGGAGAGAUGCUCUGUAUUUUAAAAUACAUCCGUCACAAUAGUCAAAUUGUGUCUCAUGCAUGUAGGAAAUAUUGAAGGAUAAAAUAUCAGUGGACACGAAAGUAGAACUAUUUUUUAUUGUUUGUUUUUCUUUUGUAUCUGCCACUGAUUAUAUGUUAUUUGUAUUGUACUUAAUGUCAGCGCCGAAUCUUCAUUCCACUGGGUGUCGCAUGACUUUUUGCCAGAAACCAUUUUGUACCUUUUAGCCAUUAAUCAGUUUUGUUUUGUAUCUACUGUGCAGCUUGAACUGGCUGUAUCAUAUUUCAUAUUUAUUCCUUACAGAAUCUCACUAAUUACAGCAUGUACCAUUCAGC
ensembl:lncRNA